UCGGCUGUCAAAUAUAAGUGCGGCUCGGAAUAUUAUAAAUAAUAAACAGCCGACUUGCUCUCCCUUACAUUCGAACACAAGUCCUGACAGAUGCAAUUAAAGUCCCUGCAAGAUCAUAAAAAUGCAGAGGAGGAGAACACUUGGGAUAAGACAACUACUUUGUGGGAUUCCAUAUGCAGGUGCAGAGUACGCGACCAUGACAAUUCAGUAGCCGUGCAGAAUCGUUUCCACACCAUCACAGAAAGUUGCAUUAUGUGGACUUCAUUGGAAGGAACAACAGGUAUCUGUGGGACUUUGCAGAGGAACUAAGAACACUGAGUGCAGAUCCACUCAUUAAUGAAGGAGUACACAUGAGCGCUGGUGCAGUGAAUGAUGGGACAUGUAGUCCUAAGUUCAUGUAAGCGGUAAGAAGGAAGGAGGAGGAAGAAUGGAGGAUAAGGCAGUGAACAGAUACCGUACUAAUACUGCACACGUGUGAGAAGAUGCACAUGACAUCACAUACCCGUUUUUGCACAUGCACUGUACAAAAUUAUAGUAAUUUAUUUGAA